GAAUGACAAAUAGCACAAGGUUACGAAUACCAAUGGCAACGGGCAUAAAGCUAACUCCUUCGUUAGAUAAAUCUGCUGUUGAUAUUACUUUAUAUCGAAGCAUGAUUGGGUCUUUAUUGUAUUUAACUGCAAGUAGACCUGAUAUUAUGUAUUCUGUUUGUAAUUGUGCAAGGUAUCAAUCAAAUCCACGUGAACCACAUCUCACAGCAGUAAAGAAUAUUUUCCGAUAUUUGAAAGGUACUACUUCGUUAGGAUUGUGGUAUCCUUCGAAAACAGGGUUCUUUGUACAAGCUUAUUCGGAUGCGGAUCUUGGAGGAUGCAGUCUUGAUCGUAAAAGCACAACUGGUGGGUGUCAAUUGCUAGAUGGAAAGCUGGUCAGCUGGCAAUCGAAGAAGCAAACAUGUGUUUCAAUAUCAACCGCUGAAGCUGAAUAUGUUGCUGCAGCUGCGUGUACANUGUAUUUAACUGCAAGUAGACCUAAUAUUAUGUAUUCUGUUUGUAAUUGUGCAAGGUAUCAAUCAAAUCCACGUGAACCACAUCUCACAGCAGUAAAGAAUAUUUUCCGAUAUUUGAAAGCUACUACUUCGUUAGAAUUGUGGUAUCCUUCGAAAACAGGGUUCUUUGUACAAGCUUAUUCGGAUGCGGAUCUUGGAGGAUGCAGUCUUGAUCGUAAAAGCACAACUGGUGAGUGUCAAUUUCUAAAUGG
rnacentral:lncRNA from 1 species